CGAGCAGGCUGAAGGGCUGAGGGGUACUCUGGUAGCCAUCCCGAGAGCUGACAUUCCCCUCCAGCUGGCCAGGCCUCAUGUGAGGGAAUCCAGGGGAGGCUGGAUGAUGCAGUCGGCAUUUUUGAGAAGAUGGGUUUGGAUUUCCUGUCCACUGUGUUGACGAAGACACUGGGAGAGACAUGAACCCUGCCAGAUCAAAAGACGCUGCUGGGCCAGGCAGUUCCCAGGAGCAGCUCCUCCAUGCUGCCUGGAUUCCAGAAUGAAGCUCUUUCUGAAGAAGCGGCGAGGCCCCUUUCCAAGAGCUUACCAUGGGGCCAGAGAGAGGAGUGAUUUGUCCGCAGGAAAUUCUUCGUGGUCAAGCCCAAGGUCAGGCUGAUCUGCAUGUGACACCUCCUUCAGGCCAGCACUGUAUUUAUGGCAUCAAAGGCUCCACCGCAAAGGGAGGUGGGGCCAUUGGGAAGCCAAGUUGAGGGGACCUUUGAUGUCCCUUUAUCUCUCCCAACAACCGUCCUGUAGAAGCCCGCAUUUUCUUCUUUCAGAUUCUCCACUUAGAAUGUUAAUGUCCAGGGCUGUGCAUACAGUCUGUGGUCAAUAAAUGCACAACCAAAGGCUGCUUAUCUGAAAACGCACAGAAUGAGCCUGCUUUCUGAGAUCACAUACCACAACAUUGGAACCUGCAUACUCUCAGCCAAUCUCUCUCCAAAGACUCCUGGGAAGGAAAAAUAUUAACAUGUUCAACCCUAAUCAAAUCUGGAUAAUUUCACUAGAAACCUUUCCAUAAUUUCAUCAGCAUUAAAGGAUUACAAUAGCAACAAAUUAAACCAACAGGCAUGAAUUUAGUUGCUCAAGAGGAAAAUGUAGCUUGAUUUAGAAACGGAUGUUACAGUUUAUUAACCAAUCUAAAUUAAUUUGAUUUGGAGCCACUGUUAAAUAUACAUUAGGAUGUAUCACCCAAUAGCAUAGCUGGCAGGGAAGAGAAGAGAGAGGAAGGACAGCAAGCGGGGCCAACAUAAGUAUGGCACCUACACAAUGGCAUGUUAAUUCUGUGGUACUGGGCUGCAUGUUCAAAACUAGGUAAGAAAAUACCAGUCAGGAGUCCAUAUAACAAGAAUUGCAAACUCGAUUCAAGCUAGCUCAAAGCCAAAAGGGAGAUUUGUUAUCUCGGUAGCUGAACUUCCCAGGGCCUGUUUAACAUCAAGUACAGCUGGAUCCAGGUGCUCAAAGUCAACAGGAAUUGGCCUCUCUCUGUUUCUUAGUUGGUUUUCUUCUGUGUAGACUUUACUUUCAAGUAAGGUCCUACCUGGAGGCAGGGUAACACCAGCAGCUCCAGAUUUUCUUUCUACUGGCUUAGCCAUCUCACAGAAAGAGAACUCACCCCAAACCCCAGGAAAGGAAAGGCUCUCAUUGGCCUGGCCAAGGUCAUGAACCACUGAUUGGCCAGGCUUGGACCCCCUGUUCAUCCUCAGGUUGGAGAGGAUGAUCAGACCCAGGUGCAAGCAGCAUGUGGACUAGGAGCAGGAGAUGGGUGGUUCCCCCCAAAAUGGGCAGUUCUCUAGUACCGAAGAUGAAGGAAAGGGCAGCCCAAGGACCAGUGGCCCCUCUAAGAGCCAUAGAGGCGAAGAACAAACUCUCUCCUGGAGCCUCCAGAAGGAACCAGCCCUGCUGACACCUUGAUUUUAGUCCUAUAAGACUCAUUUUGGACUUCUGA